GAUCCUGGCUCAGGAUGAACGCUGGCGGCGUGCCUAACACAUGCAAGUCGAGCGAUCUCUUCGGAGAGAGCGGCGGACGGGUGAGUAACGCGUGGGUAACCUGCCCUGUACACACGGAUAACAUACCGAAAGGUAUGCUAAUACGGGAUAAUAUAUAAGAGUCGCAUGACUUUUAUAUCAAAGAUUUUUCGGUACAGGAUGGACCCGNGUCUGAUUAGUCUUGUUUGGGUCGGGGGUAACGGGGACCCGACCCAAACGG
rnacentral:rRNA from 1 species